UGUAUCAAAACAAAUUAAAAGUGAUUAUGGACAAACGUGGUUAUGUUAUGAUAUUCAAUUAUGAGGAUUUUAUGCGAAAUAAGGUACAACAUACCCAACAUUGCGGCUCAGUACACCAGCAUAAACGCGCAGCAUAACUUGACGAAGCUGUAACAGUCAUGCUCGCAGCUGGGUCCUGCAGUCCGCCUCCACAUUUGAGCACUGACUCGCCAUCCCGUCGAAUGUUCAACGAGCAGCCUCGAAAAUCGGCAACCUGUGCCUUUCAACAAACAUCUUUAACAUUUGUCCCGGGACUUCCACUAUCAUCUUUGCCACUCAUGGGCUAAUUAUGGGUCCUGCAACUCGCAGUACUGACCCUGGAGCAAACGGACACAGACAACUAGACUGGUUUGGAGUGACAAUGUACAACCUUGGACAUCAUAGACCUCUAGAUGAACUCUUAGCAGAGGGAUAAUUUGGCCGAACAUUCGCACCUCCCUAUUACUCCUACACACAACAACACUCACCAACAGCAAAUAUCACAGAUGUUUAUCACAGAUCAACAUGAUCACAGAUGUCUUGCCACAGAUGUCGGGUUGCAGUCAACUCAUCGAUCAUCGUGAAUGCAGUUCCUCGAAAAUCAACUUCUGCACUUGAAGCAAAUAGAAAAAGAAAAGAACCAAUAUGAUUCGCUUUCGUGUUAAUUUACUAUUCUAGUUUAAGGCAAUCGCCUGUUAAUUUGAAAAUUUCUAGUUAUGGUUGCGCUUGGCGAAAGCGUAAUUAAAAUAUUCUAGCUGAAGUAAUCUCAAAAGAGACAAAAAUAAUUGGAAAAUCCUACAAUUCGUUCAUGCUGCUAAUGUUGUUAAUCACAGUUUAUCACAGUUAGUUUCAUUUUAUAUUAGGUUAAGUUCCAAAUAAAUAAUUUUGUUUGUCCGGUGUUUUA